rnacentral:lncRNA from 1 species
UUUUUGCCUAGAAAUAUAGUUUCUUUCUCUAUUCUGCUCUAACCUGUAACACCCCCUUCCCUCUCUACCUCACAUUCUUUGGCCAUCACCCAGAGAAAAAUUAAUCUAGCCACCUGUCUCUGGGAAGCCUGAGGCUUUUCUCUGGCUAGUUUGUAUUCAUCUUUUGCCCUUAACAAAUCUGAACAUAAAAACAGUACUAAAAACAUCUGAUGUGAAGAGGUGCUUGGUUUACCAGUGCUGUAAGAUAAUGGUAGUGGAGGUGUCCAUGCUUAUUAUACCAUAGAGUUAAAGUAAAGACUGGAUCCAAAUCAUAACAGAAAAAGAGCAAGAAAGAAAGAACAAAAAAGAUAUGUAGAGACAUAACAAAUAGAGGGACCAGGGAACAUUCUGCAUUAAAUAUGUAACCUUAUUAAACAGUCAACAUUCAAAUUUACAUGGGCAAGGCACCACGAACGUGACAUUGAGAAGGUAUAUCUCAAUAUGCAAGCCAUUGCAAGGUGGGAGGUGGGGGAGGUUAAGGGAAUAUGCUGGCUGACAUGGUCAGUGGUCUGUGUGCUGCCACUUCAGUGCAUAAUCAGGCAAGGAGUUAUGUGCACAUGGUCUAUGCUAAGAUGAACCAAACACCAACCUUCAAGGCAAGGAGCGGCUGUGCCAGAGGAUACCAAGAGCGGACUGCUGGCCUGCAGCAGCAUGCCCACUCCAUGGCCAUUCCUAGGAGCAGAGCCCUGCACUCUGGCUAGAGGAGGCAAGACUCUUUGUGGGCUAACCAGCCUUCCUCCCUGUGAAUCCUAUAUUGCUGGCCAGGUGAUAAGGACAUUCUCCAUAUAGAGCCUCACAUAUUCCAAUCACUUAAAAAAAUAAUAAGAGCACAAUAAAAUACAUUAUUCUCCUUUCCUGAUCCUCUUUCAUAUACAUGAAUCACAUGAAAGGCUGUUAAAAAUGUUAAAAGUUUAGAAAUUUCCAAGGCCACUAAUGUGCUAUGUAAGUAAUACUGCACAAUCAGUCUUGGCUUUAAGGAAACUCUGCACUGGUAGAUGAGGGGCCUCAGGGCUCACUCACUCACUAGGCACAGAGAACAUGUCUGUCAACCCUGCCACAGGUUGCUUCUCUAGAGGCGUGGCCUCUACUUCCAGCAUGCGUGUGCACGCACACAUGGGCACACAAGUGUACACACACAUUGUUCGAGUGACUCUUGGGAUUUCAAGGUCAAAGUAAACACAUACUCACAGUUUUGAAUAAAACAAGCACAGGUACACAUGUGUAUACACACACACACACACACACACACACACACACAUACACACACACCCCAGUGGAAGGAACGCUCAUCUCUUAGCGCAAAUAUGUGCCAAGGGAAGAAGGGGGAAGGUUUCUGUAGACUCGCUUCAGGUGAAGUUGCAACAUAAACACUGUAAUAUACAGCUAAAAAAAUACAUACAAAAAUUGCACAUAUAUCCAUAGGAGGGGAGCACAGGCUGCACACAUGGUGAACAGCUCUCAAUCACCCACCUCAGCAAUCAGAAUUCUCGUGAGCUGUCCUCCAGAGCCAUUUUAGAGAGAGUCAGAAGGAACAAUGAGCCACUUACACUGGGAGGCAGUCUCUCUAAAAGAGGUCAACAUUCUGAGGAGGUCAGCAGUCUCAUCAGUGGCCUUCUUCCCCUCCCCUGCCUACGGCCAUCCCAACAGCCCACCUCACUGUGCCCUGUAAGAUCUUAGAGCUCCACCGACAGCUAUUUCAUUCAGGGCAAUUGUUUACAGCAUUUGCUAAACUAGUUAACACUGGCUACUGAUAGAAGGGAGCUGGCCAAUUACUGCUCAGGGGAAAACUGCAAAUGCUGACAGUUCUGACAGUAAUCAAAGGGUACUUUAAACUCUGUUCCCUGAUGGCCCCUAGAGAAUUGCACAUGCAAGAAAAUCAUCUCCUCAUGCCCUGCCAGCUAUUUAUAAGCUCUGAACUGCACUCCACCCUGCUGAGGCAUUGGUGACACCACCUUGGGUCAGCUCUGUAAUGGGCCACAAGUGGCUGAUAAAUCCAAACAUCACUGGCAAGUGGGGACAGAGUAGAGAAUCAGGCAGUGGCAGCAG